AAAGUCGUAACAAGGUCUCCGUUGGUGAACCAGCGGAGGGAUCAUUACAGAGUUGAAAGACUCCCAAACCACUGUGAACAUACCCGAGCGUUGCCUCGGCGGGCGGCCCCAGGGCGGGGCCGCAACCUCCCGCAGGGAGGUGCCCGCCGCAGGCCCAUACAAACCAUAUUGAAACCUAGUGGCCUCUCUGAGUUGAUUACCAAUAAUCAAAACUUUCAACAACGGAUCUCUUGGCUCUG
rnacentral:misc_RNA from 1 species